rnacentral:rRNA from 1 species
AAUCAACGCUGGCGGCGUGCCUAACACAUGCAAGUCGAGCGAGAAAGGGGUAGCAAUACCCUGAGUACAGCGGCGCACGGGUGAGUAACACGUGGGUAAUCUGCCCUGGAGUGGGGAAUAACACCGGGAAACCGGUGCUAAUACCGCAUACGAUUACGAGGUCUGCGGAUCAUGUAAUUAAAGGAGCAAUUCGCUUCAGGAGGAGCCCGCGGCUGAUUAGCUAGNGGUGAGGUAAUGGCUCACCAAGGCUACGAUCAGUAUCCGGUCUGAGAGGACGGUCGGACACACUGGAACUGAGACACGGUCCAGACUCCUACGGGAGGCAGCAGUGGGGAAUUUUUGGCAAUGGGGGCGAACCCUGACCAAGCAACGCCGCGUGGAUGAUGAAGUAUCUUGGUACGUAAAAUCCUUUCGAC